rnacentral:rRNA from 1 species
GGUUUGAUUCUGAAGAUAUGGUGGUUGAACGCUGGCGGGAUGCUUUACACAUGCAAGUCGAACGGCAGCACGGACUUCGGUCCUGGUGGCGAGUGGCGGCUGGUGAUAAUGUAUCGGAACGUGCCUAGUAGCGGGGGAUAACUACGCGGGCAGCAGCUAAUACCGCAUACGCCCUUCGGGGGAAAGCGGGGACCUUCGGGCCUCGCACUAUUAGAGAGCGGCCGAUAUCGGAUUAGCUAGUUGGUGGGGUAACGGCUCACCAGCGUGACGAUCGUAUCGCGUGGUUUGAGUUGUCGACCACACUGGGACUGGGAUGUGGUGGACUCUUCCACGAGAGAGGCAGCAGCAGUGGGAAUUUUGGACAAUGGGGAAACCCUGAUCCAGCCAUCCCGCGUGUGCGAUGAAGAGCCUUCAGGUUGUAAAGCACUUUUGGCAGGAAAGAAACAGCCUGGGGAUAAUGCGAUACAGCUGACGGUACCUGCAGAAUAAGCACCGGCUAACUACGUGCCAGCAGCCGCGGUAAUACGUAGGGUGCAAGCGUUAAUCGGAAUUACUGGGCGUAAGCGUGCGCAGGCGGUUCGGAAAGAAAGAUGCUUAAGGAAAUCGAGCCCAACUUUGGAACUGCAUUUUUAACCACCGAGCUAGAGUGUGUCCAGAGGAGGUGGAAUUCCGCGUGUAGCAGUGAAAUGCGUAGAUAUGCGGAGGAACACCGAUGGCGAAGGCAGCCUCCUGGGAUAACACUGACGCUCAUGCACGAAAGCGUGGGGAGCAAACAGGAUUAGAUACCCUGGUAGUCACGCCUAAACGAUGUCAACUAGCUGUUGGGGCCUUCGGGCCUUGGUAGCGCAGCUAACGCGUGAAGUUGACCGCCUGGGAAGUACGGUCGCAAGAUUAAAACUCAAAGAUUGACUGGGGACCCGCACAAGCGGUGGAUGAUGUGGAUUAAUUCGAUGCAACGCGAAAAACCUUACCUACCCAACCGACAUGUCUGGAAUCCCGAAGAGAUUUGGGAGUGCUCGCAAGAGAACCGGAACACAGGUGCUGCAUGGCUGUCGUCAGCUCGUGUCGUGAGAUGUUGGGUUAAGUCCACCAACGAGCGCAGCCUGUCAUUAGUUGCUACGAAGAAGGGCACUCUAAUGAGACUGCCGGUGACAAACCGGAGGAAGGUGGGGAUGACGUCAAGUCCUCAUGGCCCUUAUGGGUAGGGCUUCACACGUCAUACAAUGACCAAUGGUCAGGACAGAGGGUCGCCAACCCGCGAGGGGGACCAAUCUUGGAGACCGAUCGAUGGGCCGGAUCGCAGUGUGUGCAACUCGACUGCGUGAAGUCGGAAUCGCUAGUAAUCGCGGAUCAGCAUGUCGCGGUGAAUACGUUCCCGGGUCUUGUACACACCGCCCGUCACACCAUGGGAGUGGGUUUUACCGAAGUAGUUAGCCUAACCGUAAGGAGGCGAUUGUGAAUGAAGGAUGUGAUGAGCUGGGUGAAGUCGUAACAAACGAA